UCUUGCAAAAAGGUUCAGUCUUUGAUACAAAAGAUUUUCAAUGCGAGCAAACAACAUCCAAUCACAGUAAAGCAUUGCUCAAGCAUUAUUUCCUGCAUAGGUCUUAUAAUCUGCAUCUAGAGGUGGAAGGGAUAGGGUGAGUUCACAACUCAGUAGAAAAAUUUAUAACCAUCCUAAGCAUACCUUUAAAAACCCUGAAUUAAACGUUUAAUAACAUGUAUGCAUGUUUUUGCUGGUUUCAUCUUUGCUUUUCCUCAUCCAUCCUUUCAACAAUCAUAAACUGCUAACCCCCACCAAUCUACACUUCAGAUAUCAAUGCUCCACAAGAUAAUCAAUUAAUGACUAUUUUGGGACAUCACCCAAGGGCAGGACCAACUUGUCUUUAGGGACUAAAACCCAGGGGUAGGACCAACCCCAUACAUCCACAUCGGAGUGUCUUCCUCGAGGCUUUAGGGACUUUCACCAAAGGACCCACAUAAACAAUAUAUCAAUUGAUAAUGUCUGUAGCAUCACAUAAACACUUCCCACCAAUCAAUUCUCUGAAUAUCAUAUGUGAUAAUUUCAUAUCCUUCUUGCAAUGCAACCACACCAUGAACCAUUUUGACAACACAAAAC
rnacentral:lncRNA from 1 species